rnacentral:tRNA from 1 species
UCCCAUGUGGUUUAGCGGUAAGGAUUCCUAUCUUUCACACAGCCGGCCCGGUUCCGAUUCCCGGCAUGGUAA